rnacentral:misc_RNA from 1 species
CUAAAAUUUAUUAGCCUAUUUUGGUCGGAUUUCUGCGAGCACAUGCUGUUUUAGCCUGUUUUGGUCCUUUUAGACCUUUGUAUUCUGCGCGCCUUCACUUUCAUCUGGUGAACUGGAUUACCUUCCCUCUCGAAUCCAGUUACAAGAGAGAUCGACAUUAAAAGGAACCUCAAGCUUUGUAUUUCAACAGGACCUUUAUAAACGAAUAACUUAAGUCGGCUAGAUUUCCUGAUGUGAAAACGAAGAACCAACAGAAACGGAUAUAAUGGGGCAUAAUGCUGGUCGCACACCAUUCAUAGACAUCUCAAACACAAGCAUUAUAGGUGAUCAAAAUGGAUCAAACUCGCUUGUACCAAUAGUCGAUGCUAAUGAAUGUAAGAGGCAAAGGGAUAAGGAAAGAUAUGCCACGAUGUCCAUUGAACAAAAGAAUGAGAAAAAUAGGAAGCGCCGUGAAGCACGUCAACGAAAUAAAGCACUACCCCUAAAGUCCGAGUCAUCUAGAGAAGACAUUAAUACGAAUCAGACACGUGAGACGGUUAACGUUGAAAUAAGUCGAGAUGUGCAUCUUGGUUCAGGUCCUAUUAAAAACACUCCAUCGCCUGGUAAUUCUAUCGAACGAAAGAGGCAAAGGGAUAGAGAAAGGCGUGCAACAAUGUCGGUUGAACAAAGGAAUGAGUACAAUAACAAGCGUCGUCAAAUGCGUCAACGAAAUAAGGGACAAAAUGUGAUGCCCAAUGUUUCAGGAUAUGGCGACAAAAAAGUAAACGUGGAUCCAGAUGAUGAUAGCGACUGGCUGCAUCGGAACGAGACAUUCCAGUCAAACGACUAUGUCGCAACGACGGACCUUCUGCCACCAGGCAGUGUGCAUGAAUCUGUUGGUGUCAUUGGGGAACCAGGUAUCAGCUUGAGGGAGUAUAGGCUUCAACGCCUUAGGUUGUAUAAUCAGACACCAAAGAGGAAAGAGGCAAAGAUAGAGUACAUGAGAAAACGUAGAGUAGUACAGGCUGACACUUUGAAUGUUGCGUCCAUCGCCAUGGAGGACCCAACAUAUACCCCUGAGGUUGUGCACCCUGCAACGGAACCUUCAACAGUUACCGCCUGCGACUGGGUUAUCCCUGAAUUCGUUAGGACACCUUUCCUACCAGCUCAAACACAGACCGAGGAUGUCGGUUCAUUCGAUAUGUCUACUGAAGCAAUAAGACGUAAACAUCAUGUGCCGCGUGGGGAAAGACAAGCUAUCUUAGCCCGUCGAAACCAGCAAUUUCAAGCAUCCAUUGCAAGAAACGUGACUACUUUGAAUGGGGAUACUAUCGGUGACGCCAACAACAAUGCACAAUGUAGCGUUCCAUGCCAAGUCGCUACAUUGCCAACAAAUGGAAGUGAAGGCAUAACCGAACAAGAAAGUGAGGUGGAGCAUACACAAGAGAAGCCAAGGGUCAUUUCAAAUUAUGAUGAUGAUGAUGAUGAGGCUGUUAUAUUCGGAGAAGAUGAUGACGACGACGAGGGAUACAUAUUCGCUGGCCAAUGUACUUAUGUCAAUUUUUAUUAUGAUUAUGAUACCAAGGCUUGUAUAAAUACACAUGUUUUAGUCGUUGUUUUCCAAACACUAUUAGAUGAGGAGACUGACGAGGACAUCGAAAUCGAUGGUACUCAAGGUGAAUCUACUGGCAUUGAUGUGCCUGACCCAUACGACAAGGUAUACAGUAACCUCCCUGAAGAAACACAUAUGCUGAAGCCUGUUCCUGACUGCG